GACGAACGCUGGCGGCGUGCUUAACACAUGCAAGUCGAACGGAAAGGCCCUGCUUUUGUGGGGUGCUCGAGUGGCGAACGGGUGAGUAACACGUGAGUAACCUGCCCUUGACUUUGGGAUAACUUCAGGAAACUGGGGCUAAUACCGGAUAGGAGCUCCUGCUGCAUGGUGGGGGUUGGAAAGUUUCGGCGGUUGGGGAUGGACUCGCGGCUUAUCCGCUUGUUGGUGGGGUAGUGGUUUACCAAGGCUUUGACGGGUAGCCGGCCUGGGAGGGUGACCGGCCACAUUGCGACUGCGGUACGGCCCAGACUCCUACGGGAGGCAGCAGUGGGAAAUAUUGCACAAUAGGCGCAAGCCUGAUGCAGCAACGCCGCGUGCGGGAUGACGGCCUUCGGGUGGUAAACCGCUUUCGCCUGUGACGAAGCGUGAGUGACGGUAAUGGGUAAAGAAGCACCGGCUAACUACGUG
rnacentral:rRNA from 1 species